GACGAACGCUGGCGGCGUGCUUAACACAUGCAAGUCGAACGGAAAGGCCUGCUUUCCCUUGUGUAUUGCGGGUACUCGCGUGGCGAACGGGUGAGUAACACGUGAGUGAUCUUCCCCCAACUUGGGUAUAAGCCUGGGAAACUGGGUCUAAUUCACGAUAGGACUGCAGGGUGGUGCCUGUUGUGGAAAACGAUUUUCUAGUGGUUGGGGAUGAGCUGGAGGCCUAUGAGCUGGUUGGUGUGGUAAUGGCCUACCAAGGUGGCGACUGGUAGCCGGACGGGGACAGUGGACAGUCAAAGUGGGACGGGGAUCCGGCUCAGACGCGAGCGGGAGGUAGCAGUGGGGAAAAAAGCAGAACGGGCGUAAGGCUGACGCAGCGAGGCCGAGUGGGAGAUGACGGCGUUCGGGUGGUAAACUACUUUCGAGCGAGAGGAAGACACCUGGAUGGAAGGGUGGUGACGGUAGUGGUAGAAGAAGCACCGGCUAACUACGUG
rnacentral:rRNA from 1 species